rnacentral:lncRNA from 1 species
GGCUCUCCGCCGCGUCGCAUUCGCCUUGUGACUCCUGAACUGAGGGAAGACUGCGAUGAUGAGAGAAUCGAUCCUUGGCCAGUACCAGUUCCGAAACCUCGGCCAUAACAUCGCAGGUAAGGUAACUGCACCGAAUCCUACGAUAAUGCCGAAUUCUAUGCUUAGUAGAUUCCAAUUGAUUGCUGAUUCAUCCUCUCGCUCUGAAAGAGGCGUGGUGCUGUUACCUGAGCAGGGUUUUGUGAAAGGGCUGCCGCAUAAACCUGGAUUGCCGCCGAAUGAAGAGUUGUCGAAUGUGUUGAAUUGACUCCCCGUUGGGAUGCGUCCAUCCAGAUGAUUAUCUGACAAGUUCAGUGCUGAAAGAAAUGUCAACUCUGUGAGC